UACAGAGGUCCCAAGCGUUGUUCGGAUUCAUUGGGCGUAAAGGGUGCGUAGGCGGCGCGGUAAGUCGGGUGUGAAAUCUCGGGGCUUAACUCCGAAACUGCAUUCGAUACUGCCGUGCUUGAGGACUGGAGAGGAGACUGGAAUUUACGGUGUAGCGGUGAAAUGCGCAGAUAUCAGGAAGAACACCCGUGGCGAAGGCGGCUCUCUGGGACGGUACUGACGCUGAGACGCGAAAGCGUGGGGAGCGAACAGG
rnacentral:rRNA from 1 species